AGAGUUUGAUCCUGGCUCAGGAUGAACGCUAGCUACAGGCUUAACACAUGCAAGUCGAGGGGCAGCAGAUCGAAAGCUUGCUUUUGAUGCUGGCGACCGGCGCACGGGUGAGUAACGCGUAUCCAACCUUCCCUAUAGUAGAGAAUAGCCCGGCGAAAGUCGGAUUAAUGCUCUAUGUUGUAUUUAGAAGACAUCUGAAGAAUACCAAAGGUUUACCGCUAUAGGAUGGGGAUGCGUCUGAUUAGGUAGUAGGCGGGGUAACGGCCCACCUAGCCGACGAUCAGUAGGGGUUCUGAGAGGAAGGUCCCCCACAUUGGAACUGAGACACGGUCCAAACUCCUACGGGAGGCAGCAGUGAGGAAUAUUGGUCAAUGGACGGAAGUCUGAACCAGCCAAGUAGCGUGCAGGAUGACGGCCCUAUGGGUUGUAAACUGCUUUUAUAUAGGGAUAAAGUCGGGGACGUGUCCCCGUUUGUAGGUACUAUAUGAAUAAGGACCGGCUAAUUCCGUGCCAGCAGCCGCGGUAAUACGGAAAGGUCCAGGCGUUAUCCCGGAUUUAUUGGGUUUAAAGGGAGCGCAGCUGAUGAUUAAGCGUGACGUGAAAUUGUAGCCGCUCAACGGCUGAACUGCGUCGCGAACUGAUUAUUCUUGAGUGAGUUCGAUGUUGGCGGAAUUCGUGGUGUAGCGGUGAAAUGCUUAGAUAUCACGAAGAACUCCG
rnacentral:rRNA from 1 species